GUCUUUACCGAGACCCUACGCUCUGCCCCUGCUACAUAUAUGACAUUACCCAGCAUCCCUCACCAUAACAAAGGCACAGUCCCUAACCAUCCCUACACAGGUGACAUUACCCAGCAUCCCUCACCAUAACAAAGGCACAGUCCCUAAACUUCCCUACAUAGGUGACAUUACCCAGCAUCCCUCACCAUAACAAAGGCACAGUCCCUAACCAUCCCUACACAGGUGACAUUACCCAGCAUCCCUCACCAUAACAAAGGCACAGUCCCUAACCAUCCCUACACAGGUGACAUUACCCAGCAUCCCUCACCAUAACAAAGGCACAGUCCCUAACCAUCCCUACAGAGGUGACAUUACCCAGUAUCCCUCACCAUAACAAAGGCACAGUCCCUAACCAUCCCUACAUAGGUGACAUUACCCAGCAUCCCUCACCAUAACAAAGGCACAGUCCCUAAACUUCCCUACAUAGGUGACAUUACCCAGCAUCCCUCACCAUAACAAAGGCACAGUCCCUAACCAUCCUUACAUAGGUGACAUUACCCAGCAUCCCUCACCAUAACAAAGGCACAGUCCCUAAACUUCCCUACAUAGGUGACAUUACCCAGCAUCCCUCACCAUAACAAAGGCACAGUCCCUAACCAUCCCUACAUAGGUGACAUUACCCAGCAUCCCUCACCAUAACAAAGGCACAGUCCCUAACUAUCCCUACAUGACAUUACCCAGUAUCCCUCACCAUAACAAAGGCACAGUCCCUAACCAUCCCUACAGAGGUGACAUUACCCAGCAUCCCUCACCAUAACAAAGGCACAGUCCCUAACCAUCCCUACAUAGGUGACAUUACCCAGCAUCCCUCACCAUAACAAAGGCACAGUCCCUAACCAUCCCUACAUAGGUGACAUUACCCAGCAUCCCUCAGCAUAACAAAGGCACAGUCCCUAACCAUCCCUACCACAAGCUCCCU